GAUAAACGCUGGCGGCGUGCCUAAUACAUGCAAGUCGAGCGAACGGACGAGAAGCUUGCUUCUCUGAUGUUAGCGGCGGACGGGUGAGUAACACGUGGAUAACCUACCUAUAAGACUGGGAUAACUUCGGGAAACCGGAGCUAAUACCGGAUAAUAUUUUGAACCGCAUGGUUCAAAAGUGAAAGACGGUCUUGCUGUCACUUAUAGAUGGAUCCGCGCUGCAUUAGCUAGUUGGUAAGGUAACGGCUUACCAAGGCAACGAUGCAUAGCCGACCUGAGAGGGUGAUCGGCCACACUGGAACUGAGACACGGUCCAGACUCCUACGGGAGGCAGCAGUAGGGAAUCUUCCGCAAUGGGCGAAAGCCUGACGGAGCAACGCCGCGUGAGUGAUGAAGGUCUUCGGAUCGUAAAACUCUGUUAUUAGGGAAGAACAUAUGUGUAAGUAACUGUGCACAUCUUGACGGUACCUAAUCAGAAAGCCACGGCUAACUACGUACCAGCAGCCGCGGUAAUACGUAGGUGGCAAGCGUUAUCCGGAAUUAUUGGGCGUAAAGCGCGCGUANGCGGUUUUUUAGUCUGAUGUGAAAGCCCACGGCUCAACCGUGGAGGGUCAUUGGAAACUGGAAAACUUGAGUGCAGAAGAGGAAAGUGGAAUUCCAUGUGUAGCGGUGAAAUGCGCAGAGAUAUGGAGGAACACCAGUGGCGAAGGCGACUUUCUGGUCUGUAACUGACGCUGAUGUGCGAAAGCGUGGGGAUCAAACAGGAUUAGAUACCCUGGUAGUCCACGCCGUAAACGAUGAGUGCUAAGUGUUAGGGGGUUUCCGCCCCUUAGUGCUGCAGCUAACGCAUUAAGCACUCCGCCUGGGGAGUACGACCGCAAGGUUGAAACUCAAAGGAAUUGACGGGGACCCGCACAAGCGGUGGAGCAUGUGGUUUAAUUCGAAGCAACGCGAAGAACCUUACCAAAUCUUGACAUCCUUUGACAACUCUAGAGAUAGAGCCUUCCCCUUCGGGGGACAAAGUGACAGGUGGUGCAUGGUUGUCGUCAGCUCGUGUCGUGAGAUGUUGGGUUAAGUCCCGCAACGAGCGCAACCCUUAAGCUUAGUUGCCAUCAUUAAGUUGGGCACUCUAAGUUGACUGCCGGUGACAAACCGGAGGAAGGUGGGGAUGACGUCAAAUCAUCAUGCCCCUUAUGAUUUGGGCUACACACGUGCUACAAUGGACAAUACAAAGGGCAGCGAAACCGCGAGGUCAAGCAAAUCCCAUAAAGUUGUUCUCAGUUCGGAUUGUAGUCUGCAACUCGACUACAUGAAGCUGGAAUCGCUAGUAAUCGUAGAUCAGCAUGCUACGGUGAAUACGUUCCCGGGUCU
rnacentral:rRNA from 1 species